AGGGUUCGAUUCUGGCUCAGGAUGAACGCUAGCUACAGGCUUAGCACAUGCAAGUCGAGGGGCAGCGAGAGUGUAGCAAUACACUUGUCGGCGACCGGCGCACGGGUGAGUAACGCGUAUCCAACCUGGCCCUUAGUAGGGGAUAGCCCGGCGAAAGUCGGAUUAAUACCCUAUGUUUUCCCAUGAGAGCAUUUGAAAGGGAACAACGAUUUAUCGCUAGGGGAUGGGGAUGCGUCCGAUUAGGCAGCAGGCGGGGUGACGGCCCACCUGGCCGACGAUCGGUAGGGGUUCUGAGAGGAAGGUCCCCCACACUGGUACUGAGACACGGACCAGACUCCUACGGGAGGCAGCAGUGAGGAAUAUUGGUCAAUGGGCGCGAGCCUGAACCAGCCAAGUAGCGUGAGGGACGACGGCCCUACGGGUUGUAAACCUCUUUUGCCGGGGAAUAAAGUGCGGGACGCGUCCCGUUUUGUAUGUACCCGGAGAAUAAGGACCGGCUAAUUCCGUGCCAGCCGCGGC
rnacentral:rRNA from 1 species